GGGCCCGUAGCUCAGCUUGGUUAGAGCGCUCGGCUGAUAACCGGGAGGUCCGUGGUUCGAAUCCGCGCGGGCCCACCA
rnacentral:tRNA from 1 species